GGAGUUGAUUCACAGUUUCAUUUGUUUAUUUUGGCUACAUUGCGCCAAUUGCGCUUCCAUAGAAUAAAGAAACGCGCUUCCACGCGCUUGCCGACUCGAUCGCAAGGGGACAGCCUGAUCAACAUCAAUAUCAGCAGCAAUGGCGGAUUUGCGCUUGCCAUGGCGCUUGCAAAGUUUUCAAUAGUUUUCGACUAUUAAGUGAUGCUUUUGCUAUUUUAACGUGUGGAGGUUCAUUGUACGUCUGUUUUUUCAAGUUUGGCAUGUGUUUUAACACAUGUGAAGGUGUAGUCUUUUCUUCUUCAGCGGAUAUUUGUACAAGACCCCGUUCACCGUCUAUCAGCUCUAGCUCGGCAAGAAUAAAGCGGUUCCUUAGAAGUGGUGGAGGUGCUGGGGUUCUGCAUACCAAGGACGUAUAAGUGAAGGUGACUUAAACCGACAACAGCCGAGAAGGUGCAAACAGCACUGCGCUGCCUGGUUCUUGCUGUUGGCCUUUUCUUCUUUUCACAGUGUCCUUACUGUAAGUGCACUCCAGAGUUACAAUGCAGGAAUAUGCAUGUGUGCAUAAGCUUUCAUUCAAGAGUAACUCAUGAUCAUAAGUUACGUCAUCAUGGUUUCGUACCAUGUCACGGCAUCAUAAGUGAGACAUAAUAAAGAAGCCCUCAAAGUCUGCGGGAGAGACUAAUCUUUUGUGCGAGAUUGUGCUAUCCUUGCUGAACGCAGUGCAAUAUUAUAUGACUCUCAUGUCUAUGGUGGCAUUGUCGAUUAUGAAUGUUUCCUUACUGCGUUAAAAAAAUGUGUAGUGCAUCUUUCAGAUAAUAAUGGCAUUAUAGCUUCAGAGUUGUUCAAGUUUGGGGUACUUCUUCACUAAAAGUACAUUAUCAGAAAAGCUUUAGAAUGUCUAGGUCAUAAUUGCAUUUGAAGAACGAAGUCUUCCUACACAUAGCAAUUGGUAGCUUACUGUGUAAUGUUGAAGGUGGUUUUUAUUCCUAGGCCCUACGCAGAGAGCAGCAACACAAUGCCUGGCAUGUGACCAGGGUUCGUCACAGUGUUUGCAUUUCCAGUGCUCGUAACUGAUUCCAAGCAUAAAUUUGCUUUAUGAAUUCUUUGUAGACAGAAGGUGCUUGAAUAUUGGUUGCAUGAAAUGCUCCAAUGCACACUGUAUAUGUACAGGGUGUCUUUUAUUACCAUACAGAUUUUCUUGUUUUAAAGUUAUGAGCGCAGCAAAUGUGGCAUUCUUGCAGAGGAAUUCCUCUAUUUUGGAACUCCACAAAUUUGGAGGCAGUCACAUUUUAUAGCACUUUCAUUUCUUACAAAUCUUGAAAGUUGCACCUAAUUCAAGAUAUUCAUCAUUGAAUUUCACUGGUAAAUCGAGGCAAUAUUGGAACAGAGUGUGCUGGGAGCGCAGAAAAGAAGGUCCCGCUACCUCAUCAGAUGGAAACACCCCCGACAACAGGCUCGAGAAAGUCUGAAACAACAUCUUGGCCAGUCAUUGUAGCAGCUGAUACGACACACUUUGCCUUGCAAGCAUGUGCAUCAGUGUGCCGUGUCAGGCUAUCAUUUAAGCUUUGUCCCACACUUCUUGACAGGGCACUGCCGCCUGAUGUGGAGCAGGAUGCACCAAGUUUUGAUUGUACUCAAUUGAGCGCGAUAAUGAAUAUUUCAAAAUAAGUGCAAUUUUCGAGAUUUCGAAAAAGAAAGGGUGUGCGUUCACAUGUGACUGCCUCCAAAUAUGCCAUUUAGAAGGCUGUCGCCAAGUUACUAAUAAAGAAGUGACUGAAUUUUUCAAAAUUAAUUUUCUGAAACUUGCAUUAGCAGCAAAGUGUGUCCUCCUCACCUAGAAACUCCUUUGCAAGAACGACAGGCUCUCUGUGCUCAAAACUUUUUGCUAAAUAUCUGCAUGGUUAAAAAAAACAAACUAGAUAUGCAUAAUUGUUAAUGUAUGAAAAUCGUACACUAUCGCUUUUCAAAAUUUUUGUCCUAUGCAACACCAGAAAAAUUGGAAAUAGAAGCUUCAGGUGACCUAUCUGAUGUGCAAGUUGCAUGGCCAUAUUAUUGUUUUAAUUUUUCGCUAUUACCUUUUACUGUGAUGUCGCCACUGCAGCAGCUCGAUGGCUGUGGCUUUUCAUUCCAGGUCACAAAGCUGCACCCAGGUAGAAGCAGAAUCCAAAAAUGCUUGUGUACUUCAAGUAUAGCUGCACAUUACAGAAUCCGAGGCCCUCAAGAUUUAUCCGUAGCCCUCGUGUAGCCCACGAGUUCCAUAUUUUUUAUUGGGAUUGAAGAGUAACGUUUGUGCUGUAUCCCAAUAUUUCAGACUAAAUAAUGUGCAUGCAAAAUUAUAUCUUCAUUACUUUACACCAUUGCACCAAUAUCUGUUGUGCGUUGAUUUUCUGAUGUCCUUGCAUUUGCUAUAGCAAGGAUUUUUAAAAAUCAGCCACAAAAGAAAAAAUAAAUGGUCAAGGAACGAAGUGGUGUGUAGCAGCUCCCUUUUUUUUAAUCGGCGGCAAGUUUUGCACUCGUGUGUUAGCAACACUGUUUCGCCAGUUGUGUACUUCAAAAGAAGUGUUACCUUUCUGCUUUAGAACUUUGUGGUUUUGUUCUGCCAGCUGCUUGACCAACACAAGCAAAAUGUACUUUGGAUAUUCCACAAAUUCAUUCUGUAUGCAUUUGGUACAAUAAAAUUUGUUUCAAGAAUGGACAAA